CCACUUAGUUUAGACUUUUUUCGGGAACAGCCAUGCAACCACAAAUCAUUAACUGUUUUAUUUUGACGUUAAUGACCAUAACCCGUUGCGGAUGUCAGACACUAACCGAGUCUGAGCCGGUGGUCCUUAAGCCUGGAGGAUCUCAUCAACUCACCUGUACCUACUCUGGGAUUAGUGAUAGUGAUGCAGCUAUAUCGUGGAUUAGACAGGCUCAAGGGAAAGGCCUUGAGUGGAUCUCACUCAUUUCUGCUCCGAGUGGUAGUGAUAAAUACUACUCUCAGUCUGUUCAGGGAAGAUUCACCAUCUCCAGAGACAACAGCAAGAAGCAGGUGUAUCUGCACAUGACCAGCCUGAAGACUGAAGACACUGCUGUGUAUUACUGUGCUCGGACAACACACUGACACAAACAGCUGCAGCGCUGUACAAAAACUUCACAUUCACUUACAGCUUCAUUUAUUUGAAGUGAAGCUCAAAUAUUCACACCAGAGUCACACGUUCUGUCUAAUUCACAGAGUUAAAUAAAUCCGCAGAACUUCGUCCUGUGUGUAUAAAAUGUUCAACUGCGAUUUCAAACUGAUGUUUUAAAUUUCAUUCAGAUGAAAAAAGGGUGUGGGCUAUUCAUAUGGAUUCUGGGAUUUGUGAAUUUACCGUUUACAUCUGGUUCAGCCUAGACUGUAGAUUCAUGCAACCCAUCAGUGACAUUGGUGUUGGGUGAUUACACAGAGUGACACGCCCCCUAAACCUGAUCUCCACAAUACGAAGUCAGUAGUGACUGAGAAGGUGGAUGUCUAACUUGACCUACUGUAGAACCUCAACAUGAAAUAAGCAAUUAUUCAGUUAUAGUGCAGACUAUACCAGAAUGAAAAUAAUUUGUCUUUAAUGACACCAAUAAAAAAGGUUUAGCUACAUGCUGUUCUGAGAACACUGCAAUAUUUCACUGUGUGAGAGUGGCAAUUAUGGAAGCAGUUAUUCUCAGCAGUUACUGUAUUUUAACAGCCUCUCUUCUAUGUCUAUGAAAUAAAAUUUAAAAAGUUUGCAUUUAUCAAGAAAUUUGUACACAUGAGAAAUAUCUGUCUUCAUGUAAUUCUCUAGAGAGGGAUGUGACUGGGAUUAACAGCUACAGAGCUGGACUCAACACAACUUCUCUGUAAUAUUUAUACAAAUCUCGACCUCCUCUUGUGAUAUUAGCACUGUGCUUAUCUAGAGGAAG